AUCUAAUUGACGAGUCUCAAAUAGGACGAAACACACGUCCUGAAU
rfam:Schistosoma margrebowiei strain Zambia genome assembly, scaffold: SMRZ_contig0004553